UUUUUGCAUUGGAUUGAGAACAACGUACAAACCUUAUCGAUAAACAAUUGGAGGGCAAGUCUGGUGCCAGCAGCCGCGGUAAUUCCAGCUCCAAUAGCGUAUAUUAACGUUGUUGCAGUUAAAAAGCUCGUAGUUGAAAUGAAGGGUAGUUGUGUAAUGAAUACAUUCGUGUAUUUUGUUAUUCUACUACCCUCCUUCUAAAUUCGAUAUAUGAGUAUUAAUUUACUUGUAUAUGGUUUUAGACCUUUACUGUGAGAAAAUUAGAGUGUUCAAAGCAGGCAUUUGCUUGAAUAUAUUAGCAUGGAAUAAUCAUGUAUGAUUUUCAUGAUGUAUUUGAUUGGUUUGGUUCAUGAGAAUAAGAUUAAAAGGGACAGUUGGGGGUAUUCAUAUUCAAUAGUCAGAGGUGAAAUUCUCGGAUUUAUGGAAGAUGAACAAGUGCGAAAGCAUUUACCAAGGAUGUUUUCAUUAAUCAAGAACGAAAGUUAGGGGAUCGAAGAGGAUUAGAUACCCUCGUAGUCUUAA
rnacentral:rRNA from 1 species